ACGUACACUCCUGCGGGAGGCAGCAGUAGGGAAUCUUCCACAAUGGGUGCAAACCUGAUGGAGCAAUGCCGCGUGAGUGAAGAAGGUCUUCGGAUCGUAAAGCUCUGUUGUUAGAGAAGAACACGUGCUAGGUAACUACUAGCGCCUUGACGGUAUCUAACCAGAAAGUCACGGCUAACUACGUGCCAGCAGCCGCGGUAAUACGUAGGUGACAAGCGUUGUCCGGAUUUAUUGGGCGUAAAGGGAGCGCAGGCGGUCUGUUUAGUCUAAUGUGAAAGCCCACGGCUUAACCGUGGAACGGCAUUGGAAACUGACAGACUUGAAUGUAGAAGAGGAAAAUGGAAUUCCAAGUGUAGCGGUGGAAUGCGUAGAUAUUUGGAGGAACACCAGUGGCGAAGGCGAUUUUCUGGUCUAACAUUGACGCUGAGGCUCGAAAGCGUGGGGAGCGAACAGGAUUAGAACCCCUGUAGUCCCAU
rnacentral:rRNA from 1 species